rnacentral:rRNA from 1 species
CAAUAGCGUAUAUUAAAGUUGUUGCGGUUAAAAAGCUCGUAGUUGGAUUUCUGCCGAGGACGACCGGUCCGCCCUCUGGGUGUGUAUCUGGUUUGGCCUGGGCAUCUUCUUGGAGAACGUAGCUGCACUUGACUGUGUGGUGCGGUGUCCAGGACUUUUACUUUGAGGAAAUUAGAGUGUUCACGGCAGGCAAACGCCUUGAAUACAUUAGCAUGGAAUAAUAACAUAGGGCCUUGGUUCUAUUUUGUUGGUUUCUAGAGCUGAGGCAAUGAUUAAUAGGGAUAAUUGGGGGCAUUCGUACUAACGCGUCAGAGGUGGAAUUCUUGGAUUGCGUUAUGACGAACUACUGCGAAAGCAUUUGCCAAGGAUGUUUUCAUUGA